GGUGGAUUCCAUGAGAACACUCUUAGAAAGGGCCUUGGUGCAUCGUAAGUGGUCCAUGGAUAUUAGCUGCUGCUGUUUAUAUGCAUUGGCUGUCCACUCUGGGAAAAGAGAUUGCUGGAGAACUUUUAUUUAUUUAUCUUUUUGAGAAAAUAAUGCAACGAUAAUGCCACCUAAUAGCACGUCUUUAUUUUUCAUCUCCAUUUCCAGUACUUAUUUAUGGAGGUCCUAAUCUCAGAAUCCAAAGUCUAGAGAACUUUGCUGUCUUUGAUCUACUCCACUAAUCUGCUGUGUAGAGACUCAGCAGAUGACUGUGAAUGUGGGAUCCACCCUCGCACCCAAGCUGAGGGUAACAAGACUGAGACUUGACAGGCUGAGGAGUGGCAGGUGUCGUUUCUGCUGUCAAAGAGCCUACAGCUGAUGGGUUGAUGGAGCAAACAUUUCCUAAAUUCCUGGAAACCUGUCCAGCUCUGCCAGUACCAAAUAGUGGCC